AGAGGAAUAAUUGUUGAAAAUUUUUCAGCCAAAGCUUGAACUGUUUUGUUACGCUUUGCCCUAACCAAUGAAUCAUACACAUACAGUUGCUGGUCCUUUAUGUCAAACACUAACAACAACCAAUGGAAGCUCUCUAUAAGGUUAACAGGCAUUACCACAUAAUCCACAAGAUCUCAUGCUACAUUUGCAAGAAUUCGAUA
rnacentral:lncRNA from 1 species